rnacentral:rRNA from 1 species
AUUGAACGCUGGCGGCAGGCCUAACACAUGCAAGUCGAACGAGUGGCGGACGGGUGAGUAAUGUCUGGGACACUGCCUGAUGGCGGGGGAUAACUACUGGCAACGGUAGCUAAUACCGCAUACCAUCGGAUGUGCCCAGAUGGGAUUAGCUAGUAGGUGGGGUAAAGGCUCACCUAGGCGACGAUCCCUAGCUGGUCUGAGAGGAUGACCAGCGACACUGGAAAGGAGACACGGUCCAUACUCCGACGGGAGGCAGCAGUGGGGAAUAUUGCACAAUGGGCGCAAGCCUGAUGCAGCCAUGCCGCGUGUAUGAAGAAGGCCUUCGGGUUGUAAAGUACUUUCAGCGGGGAGGCGUUAACCGCAGAAGAAGCAACGGCUAACUCCGUGCCAGCAGCCGCGGUAAGUC